rnacentral:rRNA from 1 species
UACGGGGGGGGCAAGCGUUGUUCGGAAUUACUGGGCGUAAAGGGCGCGUAGGCGGUUGGAUAAGUCAGCUGUGAAAACCACGGGCUUAACUCGUGGCCUGCAGUUGAGACUGUCUGGCUUGAGUGUGGGAGAGGAGAGUGGAAUUCCUGGUGUAGCGGUGAAAUGCGUAGAUAUCAGGAGGAACACCGGUGGCGAAGGCGGCUCUCUGGACCACAACUGACGCUGAUGCACGAAAGCUAGGGGAGCAAACAGG